UCCGGCUUAUCACCGGCAGUCUCCCUAGAGUCCUCAGCUUUACCUGCUAGUAACUAGGGACAAGGGUUGCGCUCGUUACGGGACUUAACCCAACAUCUCACGACACGAGCUGACGACAGCCAUGCAGCACCUGUCUUGCAGUUCCCUUUCAGGCACCUCAACCUUUCGGCUAAGUUCUACAGAUGUCAAGAGUAGGUAAGGUUCUUCGCGUUGCAUCGAAUUAAACCACAUGCUCCACAGCUUGUGCGGGUCCCCGUCAAUUCCUUUGAGUUUUAACCUUGCGGCCGUACUCCCCAGGCGGAGAACUUAUCGCGUUAGCUUCGGCACUGAGUCAGCCUAAACCAACCCAUCGCCUAGUUCUCAUCGUUUACAGCGUGGACUAC
rnacentral:misc_RNA from 1 species